AACACGUGGGUAACCUACCUAUAAGACUGGGAUAACUUCGGGAAACCGGAGCUAAUACCGGAUAACAUUUAGAACCGCAUGGUUCUAAAGUGAAAGAUGGUUUUGCUAUCACUUAUAGAUGGACCCGCGCCGUAUUAGCUAGUUGGUAAGGUAACGGCUUACCAAGGCGACGAUACGUAGCCGACCUGAGAGGGUGAUCGGCCACACUGGAACUGAGACACGGUCCAGACUCCUACGGGAGGCAGCAGUAGGGAAUCUUCCGCAAUGGGCGAAAGCCUGACGGAGCAACGCCGCGUGAGUGAUGAAGGGUUUCGGCUCGUAAAACUCUGUUAUUAGGGAAGAACAAAUGUGUAAGUAACUGUGCACAUCUUGACGGUACCUAAUCAGAAAGCCACGGCUAACUACGUGCCAGCAGCCGCGGUAAUACGUAGGUGGCAAGCGUUAUCCGGAAUUAUUGGGCGUAAAGCGCGCGUAGGCGGUUUCUUAAGUCUGAUGUGAAAGCCCACGGCUCAACCGUGGAGGGUCAUUGGAAACUGGGAAACUUGAGUGCAGAAGAGGAAAGUGGAAUUCCAUGUGUAGCGGUGAAAUGCGCAGAGAUAUGGAGGAACACCAGUGGCGAAGGCGACUUUCUGGUCUGUAACUGACGCUGAUGUGCGAAAGCGUGGGGGAUCAAACAGGAUUAGAUACCCUGGUAGUCCACGCCGUAAACGAUGAGUGCUAAGUGUUAGGGGGUUUCCGCCCCUUAGUGCUGCAGCUAACGCAUUAAGCACUCCGCCUGGGGAGUACGACCGCAAGGUUGAAACUCAAAGGAAUUGACGGGGACCCGCACAAGCGGUGGAGCAUGUGGUUUAAUUCGAAGCAACGCGAAGAACCUUACCAAAUCUUGACAUCCUUUGAAAACUCUAGAGAUAGAGCUUUCCCCUUCGGGGGACAAAGUGACAGGUGGUGCAUGGUUGUCGUCAGCUCGUGUCGUGAGAUGUUGGGUUAAGUCCCGCAACGAGCGCAACCCUUAAGCUUAGUUGCCAUCAUUAAGUUGGGCACUCUAGGUUGACUGCCGGUGACAAACCGGAGGAAGGUGGGGAUGACGUC
rnacentral:rRNA from 1 species